rnacentral:rRNA from 1 species
ACGAACGCUGGCGGCAUGCUUAACACAUGCAAGUUGAACGCAGAAUAGGACUUCGGUUCUAUUGCUGAGUAGCAAACGGGUGAGUAACGCGUGGGAAUCUACCUUUUUGUGGGGGAUAACUGAGGGAAACUUCAGCUAAUACCGCAUAAGCUCUACGGAGGAAAGGCUUCGGCCGCAAGAAGAGGAGCCCGCGUCAGAUUAGGUAGUUGGUAGGGUAAAAGCCUACCAAGCCAAUGAUCUGUAGCUGGUCUGAGAGGAUGAUCAGCCACACUGGGACUGAGACACGGCCCAGACUCCUACGGGAGGCAGCAGUGGGGAAUAUUGGACAAUGGGGGAAACCCUGAUCCAGCAAUGCCGCGUGAAUGAAGAAGGCCUUAGGGUUGUAAAGUUCUUUCACCUGUGAAGAUAAUGACGGUAGCAGGAGAAGAAGCCCCGGCUAACUCCGU